rnacentral:misc_RNA from 1 species
ACACCUCAACUCUCAUGGCUUGCCAUGAUGAGCUUGGACUUUGGAGGUCUUGCUGGCCUGUGGUCGGCUCCUCUCAAAUGAAUCAGCUUGCCAGUGUUUGGUGGCAUCACAAGUGUGAUAACUAUCUACGCUUACGAUUUUCCAUCAGGUAACUUUCAGUAAUGGAGGUUCGCUGGGGCUCAUAGACGUCUUUCUUCGGUGGAGACAGCUCUUUGGAC